GGUUGGACAAAAGAAGACGAUUCCGUCAUGUUGAAAAUAAGAUCUCAGAAGAUUGCUACUUCUAACCUCUCAAGGAGGCUCUGAUACCAAAUGUUAAAAAACAAAGAAAAGAAAUAUAGAAGACAGAUGAGAGAAAAAGAUAAUAUAUUGAAUUGCAGUAGAUGGCUUUAUAUAGCCUUACAAAAACAGCAAAAGCUAAAAAUCUGUAGAAUAAUUCAGCAAAUCAAAACAACUUGAAAAUCCCUUAGCAAUAGGGAUUUAUUGACUAAAACAAAAUAGCAAAUUCUAACAAUUCCUCCCUUAAACUAAAGGCUUACAGCUUAUAGUUUAUAUCAGACUUGGAGCAAACUCCUAGGAGCUCACGUAGCUUCAAGAAAGCAUCCAUCUUGAGUGGCUUAGUCAUUAAAUCAGCCAAUUGUUCUUUUGAAUCGCAAUGAACCAGCUUCACCGUGCCUUCUUUAGUAAGCUCUCUCAAAAAAUGAAAACGCACAUCAAUGUGCUUACUUCGCCCAUGCAUUACUGGAUUUUUUGAGAGCUUGAUUGCAGAACUAUUGUCACAACGAACAAUAAUAGUUCUACCUUGAACCAAAUCCAGAUUUUCCAACACUCUUUUCAACCAGACAGCUUGACAAGCACAAGAGGCAGCUGCAAUAAAUUCCGCUUCGGUAGUAGAUAAACUGACAACAGGUUGUUUCUUUGAGGACCAAGACACAGCCCCUGAACUCAAUAAAAAAACAUAACCUGAAGUGCUUUUUCUGUCUUCCAAGUCUCCCGCAUAAUCACUGUCACUAUAACAAAUAAGCUCAUCAUCUCCUCCCUUUCUAUAAAAAAUCCCAAAAUCAGUUGUCCCCUUCAAAUAUCUCAGCACCCUCUUUGCAGCUUGUAAAUGGAGCUGUGUAGGAUUCUCCAUGAACCUGCUAAUUAGACUAACUACAAACAUCAUAUCGGGUCGAGUCGCUGUGAGGUACAUAAGACUACCGACAAUCUGUUUGUAAUAAGUCUUGUCCACUUUGAUGCCAUCGUCAUCUUUCACAAGUUUGGAACCAGGAACAAUGGGAUUAAGAACAGAAUUGCUAUCACCCAUACCAAAUUUCUGUAAAAUGUCCAGAGCGUAUUUCCUUUGAUUAAUGAAAAUUCCUCUUAAGCUUUGUGAAAUUUCCAAACCAAGAAAAUAGCUCAUCUUCCCAAGAUCUGUCAUAUCAAACUCUUGUUUCAUGGAUUUUUUGAAAAUUUCAAACAUCAUGUCAUCAUUUCCGGUAAAAAUAAGAUCAUCUACGUACAAACUGACAAUCAAUACUUUACCAUUAGUCUCCCUUUUGAUGAACAGAGUGUGUUCAUAAUCACAUUUAGCAAAGCCUUCUUUUAAAAAAUAAGCUUCUAUUCGACUGUACCAGGCACGUGGCGCCUGUUUUAGCCCGUAAAGAGCCUUCUUCAACUUAUACACCUUCUGUUCAGCUCCCUUCAGCACAUACCCACAAGGUUGAUCUACAAAAACAUUCUCAUUUAACUCACCAUGUAGAAAUGCCGAUUUCACGUCCAGCUGAUAAAUGGGCCACCCUUUUUGAGCUGCAAGUGCCAGGAUCAAUCGAAUUGUCUCCAUUCGUGCCACAGGUGCAUAUACUUCAUUGUAAUCUACUCCAUGUUGUUGGGCAUAGCCUUUCACGACAAGUCUGGCCUUGUAUUUAUUAACUUCUCCAUUUUCAGAAUAUUUUGUCUUAUAGACCCAUUUAACCCCAAUUGUUUUUGCUCCCUUCGGCAAAUCUAUUAAUUCCCAAGUAUCAUUCCUUUUAAUUGCUGCCAUUUCUGCAUCCAUAGCUUGUUUCCAAUUCUCAUUUUGUACAGCAUCAUCAAAAUGGAUUGGGUCAACGCUAUUGGAACUUGUAAACAUGACCAUAUCAGCUUCUCCUUCAGAAAGUCCUUCACCUGUUUCAUAAUCUCUCAUCCAGACUGGUGGGACCCUUGCUCUUACUUGAUCUGAAUCAGAGAGUAAAUCUGCAUCAUUAGGAUCAGAUUCACUUCCUUCUGCAGUGCUGAAAAUAGGAUCAGCUUCUGUGUUAUCAUUGAGCUCCUCUUCAUCAACGCCCCAUUCCAAAUCACGUACAACAAUUUCUUCAUUUUUCUUGUUCCAUUCCCAGCUUUUGUCUUCUUCAAACACAACAUCACGGCUUGCAAUGAUCUUAUUUGAAGUAGGAUCAUAAAGGCGGUAAGCCUUUGAUUCUUCACUUACACCCAACAAAAUGCAAGGAAAACUCUUGCUGUCCAGCUUAGUUCUUUUAUUAUCUGCAACAUGAACAUGUGAAAUGCAACCAAAAACUCUAAAAUACUCAACUGAAGGUUUCACCCCACUCCAUGCUUCCUCGGGUGUUUGAUUUUUCACUGCUAAGGUUGGACUCCGGUUCAAAACAUGUGCUGCCCAAUUAACAGCUUCAGGCCAAAAAUUCUUUGGAAUAUCCUUUCCUGAAAGCAUACUGCGAACCAUGUUCAUGAUGGUCCUAUUCUUCCGUUCAGCGACUCCGUUUUGUUGCGGCGAGUAUGCAGCUGUUAAUUGUCUAUUUAUACCAUUAACAUCACAAAAAUUAGUGAAAUUCUUUGGAAUAUCCUUUCCUGAAAGCAUACUGCGAACCAUGUUCAUGAUGGUCCUAUUCUUCCGUUCAGCGACUCCGUUUUGUUGCGGCGAGUAUGCAGCUGUUAAUUGUCUAUUUAUACCAUUAACAUCACAAAAAUUAGUG
rnacentral:misc_RNA from 1 species